UUUCCACCCGAGCGCGAGGUAGACGCCGGGGCCACCCGCAGCACGCAGAGCUUCUGGGAGCCGGUGGCAAGGCCGAAUUGGGAUGCAAACCAAAUGGACGUGGGUGACUGGCAGAAAACGCCUCCCACAAAUGGGAGGGAUUUCGGAGGGAACCGAAAGAAAGUUGGAAACCAAGUUACAGCUGAAGCCAGGGCCUUCUCCUACCCGACUCCCGCGGCCCAUUAAAACCUACGUGAGCUUAUCUGAUACCUUCAAGCCCUGUUUUGUGGCCCCAUCUCCUCUUCAGAUGGCAAUGUGCCUAGCUACACUACAUUUCCUGCCUCCCUUGCAGCUAGAGGUGGCCAAUGAGAUAUAAACAGAUGCUGUAAGACAUGAUGUCUAGAUCCCUAGCAGUCAUCCCAGACCAUGAGAUAACUUUGAGAAGGAACACCAUGUACAAAGGACUGUGCAGAAGAGGGUUGGCAGGAGCCUGGAUCUCUGAUGACUUCACCCUUGACUGCCCACCUCACCAGGCUGUACAAGCCACUGUUACUGGCAGAUGAAUGCAAGUUCUAAAACAUACAACUACUGACCUACUGAAUUUUCCAAGGAGCACAUUUCCACUGGAGACAUUUGGUGCCUGCAGAAAAUACUUACUGAGGAAUUUCUAUGGGACCAGCCUGAAGUAGAAGCCACUGAAGAGAGGCCCUGAAGCAGCUUUUCUUCCUUAUCCCAGAGACCAACAUGGUUACCCCAGCCCAGAGUCACCCUCCUUCCUCUAAGCUGUCAAAACCCUGGCUGCCUUUACAAUGAUUCUGACAAUGAAUCCCACCCUGCUGGUGAUGUCUAUUGCUUUACUGUUAAACUUUUUAAGGGUUAAAAUUCCUUUUUAUUUUUCUUUUUAAAUUGAUUAAUAAUAGUUGUACCAAUUUGGAUGGUACCUGUAAUAUUUUGAUACCUACAUACAAUGUGUGAUGAACAAAUCAGAGUAAUUGGGCUAGCCAUCACCUCACACAUUUAUCUAGGGCUGAAAUCCCUGAAGGACAGGAUUGUGUCUUACAAAUUGUGUAUUCUAAUCUGCAUUUACAUUUCAGAAAUUCUGGACUAAGUAGGCAAACCAACAGAAACUCUUGCUAUGAAGAUCUGGAGGUUUCCUGGAGGAAGUGGUGAAUAGGGCCUUGGGACUGAUGUUAAAAGCCCUGGAACACAAUAGGGAGACUCCUGAACUAGGAAGAAGUCAAAAGCUCUGGUAGCAGCCCCCACAAAUUAAGAAACCUACUCAGAGUAAAAGAAACAGGCCAUGGUGGGUGGCCGGGGAGCAAGGAAUAUUUGUGAGUAACCCCAGAUGGUGGCAAUCAUUUAAUGCCCUCCAUCCCUCUCAGUGUAUAUUAGGUUAUGUUUUUUUUUUAGAAAAUGGAGGAAGGGUUUUACUAUGUUGCCUAGGCCAGUCUCAAACUCCUAGGCUCAAGCGAUUCACCUGCAUUGGCCUCCUAAAUUGCUGGGAUUACAGGCAUGAGCCACUGUGCCUGGCCCAAGAAGUCUGAGCCAGACGUUGCUGCAUAGGUCAGAACUCUGUGGGCUAUGAAUGUAAGAUAUUCACGAGUCACAUCUAUUCCAUUCAUUGGCAAACACUUACCUGAAACCAUACAGCAAAAGAGAUUCUGGAAAAUGUACCUUCCAGCCUUAGAAGAAAGUGAUGGUGGUGCCCAGUUGACCCCAGGCAAGCCGGCCCAGGAAUGCAGACAUUUUGGACUGCUCAUCUUUUACUACUUUGUGUAGCCUUUCACAGAAGAAUUACACAAGAACUUGACUCUUGAUUCCAAGGAUUCUGGAAGAAUGCCAACCAAACUGAAGUCUACAAGCCUAACCAUGUUAUGAAAAGGCUGGAUGUGACAUGGUGAAUCCUCCUUAGAUGUGUUAACUAGGGUUAGGGUACCAGUGACAUGCAAGGGGUUGGCCAUUUGAUUAAGUAGAGGAGGCAUGAGUGAAAGCAGCACACCUCCACCCUGCUCAAUGGCCAUCAUCACCUAGCCAGGCUGUGAGCCUCCAUGGAGUGGGUAGCUGAGAACCCACAACCCACAAUAUAUCUUCUUUCUGGCCCUGUUAACAUGGACCUGUCUCUAUGAGGUGAUGGUUGAUAUCCAGCUAAGUAUGGCCCUCUUAAUAGUAAUGUGGGUGGCUUUAUUCAUAUUGGCUUCAUGAUAAAUGGUAUCACUGAGCUGACUUCUCUAUGUUUUAGAUAAAACAAAAAUAAAAGACAAAAAAAAAAAAAAGAAAAAAAGCAAAAUGACACAGGCAGUCUUGCUGCCAGACACAUCUGCAAUCAGAAAGCUUGGAAAAUUAGACUUGGAAAUGGCUUGAAAAAACCUUUAAACUUUUUCUGAAGAGCAAGUACAGGUUUGUCUCUGGGGUCAGUUCUAAUUCUUUGACCAGCUAAUUUUAAGUGGCUGUAUCUCGAAAAAAGUGACAGUGACAUUUUGGUACUCCAGCUGAACUUUUAGAUUAGUCACUGAUACAACUGCAACUUUUGGCCUAUUUGAAGGAUUUUAAGGGCAGGAUAAAUAACAAAACCCAACAGUCUUAGCCUGAGUUUCCCAGAAAUCAGAGCCUGAGACAAAGGCUUGCCUUUUAAGAUUAUCUGAGAAUGUGAUCUUAGGUAGCAAGAGUACAGGGUAGGGGAGUGAUCAGGGAAGGAGGGAAAGCUAAUGCAACAUGGAUUAUUACGUUGUCUACUACUAUGGACAAUUGUUCAUGUGGACUAUGCUGUGGACUACCAUAUGGACUACCACUAUCACUAUGGAUACAAGUCCUGCUUGGAAUUUUUGGGGAGAUUUAUGGAAAGUACUAGAGAACUGUUUGUCCAAAGGACCAAAGAUGGAAACAUUUAUCCAUUGGCUCCAGGUCCCCAUUGGUCAAGGAUGACUUGGUUGCAUUUCUAAGUAAUGUAUGCUGAGCACAGAGCAGAUUCAAGUGGUUGCCCUGAGCUGCAGAUACCUCUGGGCAGGAAAUGAGAGAUACUCAGUGCAGACCUAGAGUGAGACCCGUGAUCUGAUUGCACCAGCAUAGAGAUGGUCAAAACCUAGGUGGAAGCAGUUUCUUCAGUUGUAACUGGAGAUAGAGGUGGGAUUGAGAGGAUUUUAAAAAGGGGCCCAGGAGUUAUCUAAAGCACCAAACAGUAAGUAUACAUUAACUAUGUUCUGGGUGUUGGGCACAAGCAUGGGAGGUAGAGCAGUGACAUGAUAAAGCCUUUACUCUUCCCCAAAUAUCUAUACUUUCUCUAAUAUAAAAAAUCUUAAGUAUAUGAAAAAUAUCACAUUUAUUAUAAAAUGUAAACUGCAAUGACAUCUGAGAGAGUUAUAUGUUGAAAUUUAAAUUCACAUUGAGAUAUAAAUGUUAGAUACAGGUAUUUUACCCCAAGUAAGGCUUUACUAGGGGAAGGAGGAAGUGCACAAGAAUUCUGGGAGUCUGAUGUAGUUGUGAAUCAAAAUUUCCAAUCCUUAUAUAUAUUUUUAUUAUCAGCCUUGCUUUGCCUAGUGCCUAUAAUCGUGUGAGAACUUGCCCUGUAGCCCCCCAUGAGUGGCCCUUUUCCCUAGUCAUCCUUCUUUGGCUUUAGCCAUGAGGAGCCUGAUGUGAGGAGAGAACUCAGCAAAUAUUUAAGUAAAUAUUUAUGGAAUGACAUGAAUGAAUACAAAGUUAUAAAUAGAACAUUAUCUUAUUCUACUCCUGGACUAGAUGUACGACCAAACAAACUAGAAUAGAUUUUGCAUAGAUUAAAUUUCACCUUUCUGACCUCCCCAAGCAAGUGCUUCUCUGUUUUUUUCCAGACCACCAUGUAUAUUCAGUAGCUGUAGCCCUUAUUUUCUGUUUUAGUUAUUCAAAGCUUGCUGGAAUAUGAGCUCCUGAAGGGCAGGGGCCAUUUCUUAUUAAUCUUUCUGUUGUCAGUACUGAGCAAAGUCUACGGUGCCUAGAAAUGUUUAAUUAAUGAGAAUCUGAAUCAAGACUAUAACCAUACAACCUCAAUAAUGCAAUUAAAAUGAAGAAUCUGUGGAAUAAAAUGACUGAAAAGCAUACCUUGGGAAUACAUAUCCCAGCUGAGAGACUAUAGGCAAGUCACUGAAUUUCUGUGUCUCAGUUUCUCCAAGUGAAAAAUGAGAGACCAAUCAGGGUUAGAGGAUAUGUGAUGUGCAUACUGUCACUCUGUUUUCUGUGUCUUGGUUGACAUUUCUAAUAAAUCAUGACUUUUCUUCACACUGAUUUCAGAUAUAAGCUUAGUAGUCUCAAUUCACUUCAGUCAGCUUCUUUGAAAUUCAUCAGAAAUAUUUUUAAAAGCAUAAAUCAAAUGAUAUCUUUCCCCUGCUUAAAACCCUCUAAGAACUUCUAAUUCCAUCCUGAUGGCAAACUAGGGUCAUCUAAAAAAUCUCCAGCUAUAUGUCCUUAGAAAUGCUACCCAAACUAUAGCAACAAGUCAAAAUGCAUGGUGGAUCCUUUAGUAAAGAAAGGAAAAUCACCAGGUGCCAGAAAAAGGAAUGAAACUGAAAAACAUAGGGAAAAGCAUAUGAGCUUAUGCUGUGGCUACCCUGGAAGAAGUGUGGAAUGAGUGGUUUGGUGUAUUAUUACACCGGGUAAUUAAGGUUUUGGUCAAAUUAGAGGAUAAGAGAUGCAGUCUUCAGUUUAAAUGAAUCAGGGAGUUGGAACUGAAAACUCUACAUGAGCUAGGAUGCUUGAAGGGCUGACCUAUAGAGAGGGUGCUAGAGAAAAAAAUUACAACUGUUAACAUGAAGAAAAAAGGAAGUGUUUCUUUGCUUUGGCUCUGGGCAAAUAAUGAUAAUAAUAAUUAUUCUUGAAAAA
rnacentral:lncRNA from 1 species